rnacentral:rRNA from 1 species
GCGAACCCGGUGCGAGCGUGGGGGGGAAUCGGGAGGAGGAAAGAGUUAACGGGAAUUGUUGGGCGGGAAGCGGCCGUAGGUGGCGAGUGAAGGCUGCGGUCAAAGACGGGGGCUGAACCCUGGAAAGGCCGUGGAAACUGACGAGCUAGAGUGCAGUAGGGGUAGAGGGAAUUCCCGGUGUAGCGGUGAAAUGCGUAGAGCUCGGGAAGAACAUCGGUGGCGAAAGCGCUCUACUGGACUGCAACUGACACUCAGGGACGAAAGCUAGGGGAGCGAAUGGGAUUAGAUACCCCAGUAGUC